UAACACGUAGGUAACCUGCCCAUGUGUCCGGGAUAACUGCUGGAAACGGUAGCUAAAACCGGAUAGGUAUACAGAGCGCAUGCUCAGUAUAUUAAAGCGCCCAUCAAGGCGUGAACAUGGAUGGACCUGCGGCGCAUUAGCUAGUUGGUGAGGUAACGGCCCACCAAGGCGAUGAUGCGUAGCCGGCCUGGGAGGGUAAACGGCCACAUUGGGACUGAGACACGGCCCAA
rnacentral:rRNA from 1 species